AAGGUAUCUGUGCUCUCUAGUUAGU
rnacentral:piRNA from 1 species